rnacentral:misc_RNA from 1 species
CUUUACAAGCAUCAUUGCUA